rnacentral:rRNA from 1 species
UAGGGAAUCUUCCGCAAUGGACGCAAGUCUGACGGAGCAACGCCGCGUGAGUGAAGAAGGAUUUCGGUUCGUAAAACUCUGUUGUCAGAGAAGAACAGCGCAUAGAGUAACUGUUAUGCGUGUGACGGUAUCUAACCAGAAAGCCACGGCUAACUACGUGCCAGCAGCCGCGGUAAUACGUAGGUGGCAAGCGUUGUCCGGAUUUAUUGGGCGUAAAGCGAGCGCAGGCGGUCAAUUAAGUCUGAUGUGAAAGCCCCCGGCUCAACCGGGGAGGGUCAUUGGAAACUGGUUGACUUGAGUGCAGAAGAGGAGAGUGGAAUUCCAUGUGUAGCGGUGAAAUGCGUAGAUAUAUGGAGGAACACCAGUGGCGAAGGCGACUCUCUGGUCUGUAACUGACGCUGAGGCUCGAAAGCGUGGGUAGCAAACAGG